CUUAUAACAAGUCUAACUGGCUCUGGAAAGCUGAAAAGGCUGCACUGGAGCGGCAUAGAUGAUAUAUUCCACAUAAUAAUCUGCUUAUCUAGAAUCACUCUGCCUAGAAAGGCCAGAGAAAAUCGCAGCUUCAUUAUCUGAGGAAAGAAGGACAGGUGAUCUGGCAAAAACAUUUCUGAACCUGGAGCAAGAACGAUCCUCUGGCUUGGCAGUCCCAACAGUGCAGUGUGAAAGGAACUGAGCCUCCCCAGAAAUCCAAGGGCAGCCACAGCAGCAAAACCGGAGCUUUUGCAGGAUCACUUGUUAUUAAGUAUGAGUAGAGAGAAAGAAACUCGCAACUAACAUGAUCAUCUGCUGAGCAAAAUAGAUCAUUUUCCAGGACAGAUUUAAAGCUACCUUUCCGGAUGGGCAGCCUCACAGCCAGUCACAGAAACACAGUAAACGGGGCUGACAAGGAGUGAAGAAAAGGGCUACAGGAAAAAAAUCGCCUGCUUUCCACAUCUGAGAGAAAUCACUAUGCUCAGAGGUUUCCAACCAUGGAAAGAACCAAGUUCAUGAACCAAGGUAUCACUGAGCUCAUAAGAAUUCUGCAGUUUCAUUCUCUCUAUGAAAAAGAUCAAGUUACAAAGAAGCCUCCUCCACACUGAAGCAGAGAGCCAAAGAAAAAUGAUCUAACCACAGUCUGAAUCUGCUGGACAGUUAAUCACCUUCAAUAAGCUCCAAGCCUGGGCUGUAAUUGUUUCCACCAUCUUUUCCAACAGUUUGCAUCUUCUUUUUCAAUUUUAUUUGACAUUAAAUUCGAUGAAGUCACCCUUAUUUGAAAAUUAAAAUUCAUCAUCAUAAGAAGCUGAGGGAGGAUGCUUUUAAACAAGAAAGAUGCUAAACUCACAAUACCUAAGGAAUUCCUGUUUAUUGUUUAUUUUCUUAAUGCCACGUAGUAUUUGAAGACCAGGUUGCAAACAGAAGUGCUCCACCAAACCUGCUCUUCCUACACAAAAGUACAGUAUAAAAUGCUUUACCUGCUUGCUUGCAGAAGACAUGUUUUUGUCACAAAUAAAAAAUGUACACCAAAUUCAAAGACCUUAAUGGAAUUAAUACGAAUCUUACAUUUGCACAAGAGCAUGCUUGAUUUAGCAUUCUUUGGGAAGGGGCUGUUGGUAACUGGAAGGAAAGAAGGAGAAGAAGCACUCUCUAUAAGGUGGCUUAGAAAGGAGAGAUUGAAGCAGCCAGAACAAACUUCUAGGGUGGAUAAAAGACCAACCUUGUCACAAUAUUUCCAGAGGCCAAUCAUUAAUAGUUGCAAGAGCCACUAUAGAGCAUUAGCAUUAUUCAUAACUGUAUCAUUGGGACUCUUGCUCUCAUUUUGGCACCUUUAAGAACCUUCUACAAUUUGCAUGCUUGUUUCCAGCCAAGCAAAUUUAAUAAAGCCCAUUUUUCAUCCAUGUGACUUUGGGUUUAGGAAAAUUACAUCUAGAGGAAGCAUUCAUCUUACUGGUUGUCUUUUUCUCUACAGCUCUGUCCUCUGGCUGGAGAAGGCAGAGCCCUCCGUCACAGAAAGCAUAUCAAUGUACAUUUUUCUACAUCGUGCAACAUUGAGCUGAACACUCACUCGACAGCACAGCCACAGGUGUUUUCACUUUACAAGGCUGUGUCAUAUUUGUCUUGUGCUUUUCAUCAUACAUUUGAUUUAACAGACAAAUUUUCAAGGCUCAGUGCUGAUGGAUAUACCCUGGAGCCAACUUCAAAGCCAGAUCUUAGAUUUAUGAAAAUAAAAUAAGCAUACUGCUUCAAUUACAAAUACCUACUUUGAAUUCCAAUGUGAACUUUCAAAUGUUCAUCUUAUAAAUCUUGCCCUUUAUUUGAAAC
ensembl:lncRNA